UACGUAGGCAGCGAGCGUUGUUCGGAGUUACUGGGCGUAAAGGGUGUGUAGGCGGUUGGUUAAGUUUGGUGUGAAAUCUCCCGGCUCAACUUGGAGGGUGCGCCGAAUACUGAAUGACUAGAGUGUGGGAGAGGAAAGUGGAAUUCCUGGUGUAGCGGUGAAAUGCGUAGAUAUCAGGAGGAACACCGGUGGUGUAGACGGCGUUCUGGACCAUAACUGACGCUGAGACACGAAAGCGUGGGUAGCAAACAGG
rnacentral:rRNA from 1 species